rnacentral:rRNA from 1 species
GACGUAGGGCGCGAGCGUUGUCCGGAUUUAUUGGGCGUAAAGAGCUCGUAGGCGGCUCGUCGCGUCGGCCGUGAAAACCUAGGGCUUAACCCUGGGCUUGCGGUCGAUACGGGCGGGCUAGAGUUCGGUAGGGGAGACUGGAAUUCCUGGUGUAGCGGUGAAAUGCGCAGAUAUCAGGAGGAACACCGGUGGCGAAGGCGGGUCUCUGGGCCGAUACUGACGCUGAGGAGCGAAAGCGUGGGGAGCGAACAGG